UACGUAGGGGGCGAGCGUUGUCCGGAAUUACUGGGUGUAAAGGGCGUGUAGGCGGUAAAUCAAGUUAUCGGUAAAAACCCAUGGCUCAACCAUGGGCCUGCCGAUAAAACUGGUAUACUUGAGUGCAGGAGAGGGAAGCGGAAUUCCCGGAGUAGCGGUGAAAUGCGUAGAUACCGGGAGGAACACCAGUGGCGAAGGCGGCUUUCUGGCCUGUAACUGACGCUGAGGCGCGAAAGCUGGGGUAGCGAACGGGAUUAGAUACC
rnacentral:rRNA from 1 species